AUUCAGAGCUUGCGUUCUGUGGGUUGUAUGAUAAAGCUGUAAAACAUGUAAGAAUGGUUUUGCAAGUCUGAAUCGUUGAAGGCAGCAAUAAGUGGAUUUAGAGCCUGUUCUUGAGCAGACAAAGGGAAAAAGUGUGACUCUGAUGCUGAACUUGUCAUUUUUCAUUUGACUUGUCUUGAAUGAUUUAGGAAUAGAGAGAACUAGAAAAAGAGAGAAAUAGAAUCGAUUAUUGAGCAGUCCUCAAAUGCUCACCAUAAUUCAGUGUAGAGCCAAAGGGAAGGGUGAUGGAACAGAGCUCUGUGCUUUGGAAGGAAAUAAAUUUAAACCUGAUCUCCGCACAGAGUCUCACUAACUUCUGUGGUUUUAAAAUACAAAAUACGUUUAGGAAGUGUUGGAAGUUAGUAUUUUGGGAAAGAAACGGCAGUUCCACAGAACAUUCCAUUUCACAGAGGCUCUAGGAAGGAUUCAUGUUGUAACUGCUGUCACUGCAAUCAGUUGGUGGUUCAGCCUUGAAACGUGCACUUGGCCUUCUAUAAAGCGCUGUUUUGUUUGCCUUUCAUUGCUAUGAGUCUUGAUAAAUUGGAGAAGAGCCCAAGAGAAAUUUUUCAUCCCUUGAUAUAAAAGGGAUCGGUGAAUUUUAACUUUGGAGUCCUCUAUGCUAAGGAUGCUCAGCUUACAGAUGAUGAAAUGUUCAGUAAUGUAUUUGCUGCAGCUCUGCUUACCCAAGCUUUGGGUUCCUUCUGUCCCACUGGGAGUUGCCCAGUUUGGUUGCAUCUGGUGAAAUUCACCCUGAGACCUUACACAACUAGCUCAAACUACGUGAGAGCCAUUUGCAGUUCUCUCCAGACACCUGGAGAAUGGGUGACGUUUCUGAGGG